CUCUCAAGCCCCUGUACUUAUCCACCCGGAUGCCAGCAAGCAGUUUGUCGUGGAGGUGGAUGCCACGGACACGGGAGUAGGAGCGGUGCUGUCCAAGCGCUCGGACCUGGAUGGGAAGCUCCACCCCUGUGCCUUCUUCUCCCGUCGCCUGUCUGCAGCUGAAGAGAACUACGACGUGGGUGACAGAGAACUGCUGGCUAUCAAGUUGGCACUGGAGGAGUGGCGCCAUUGGCUGGAGGGUGCCGAACAUCCCGUGCAGACCCGGAUCUAAGAAUACUAAACCUGACGCACUCUCGUGCCAGUUCGUCCAUGAUGACCCGGAAAGUGAGGUAGUUCCUAUCCUACCUCCCUCCUGCACGGUCGGUGCUUUAACCUGGGAGAGAGAGAGUGAGCGGCGAACCCUUUCUAAUGACCCGGGGCCAGGUAACAUACCAGCAGGUCGCCUCUAUGUUCCUGCUGCCUGCGACCCCACCUGAUUGGUUGGUUCCACUCUGCCAAAUUCACCACCCAUCCUGGUGCCAGCCGAACCAUCGCCUCGAUCGCUAGGAGGUACUGGUGGCUCACCCUGCAUCGAGACGUGAGGGACUACAUCAGUGCUUGUGUGCCCUGCGCCAGAAAUAAGACCAACCAGCCUCUUACAACCCUUCAGUAUCCCUCCACGGCCCUGGUCCCACAUCGCCAUUGACUUCGUGACCGGCCUGCCAUGUUCCCGUGGCAUGACUACCAUUUUCACCAUUAUAGAUGGUGGUGUCAGGAUCUGUACUUCCAGAGCAUGCAGUUAACCAGUUUCCCCACCAAGUGCCGCGGAAGCCCUGGAGGUCUGGAGGCUGACAGGAGGUUAUCUGGUCAUCAGCCACUGUGCGAUAAAAGGGAGGACUGCCAGCACUUCAGCGGCUGACUGUUUUGCCCCUGUGGUGCUACCUGACAUAGUCACUGGCUUUGUUGAAAUGAUCUUGGAAUCCCACGGACCCUGAACCUCUCUGGACAUCAUACCUGGCUGGCAGUCCGAACCGAUCAGCACUCUGCUCAAGUUGCGAACCCUGUCCACCCCACCAUGAAGUACCAUCUCCAGGCUCCUCUAAGCUUCCGCGGGCACCGUUUCCAGAUCAAUUUUCAGUCCUGACACGUCCUCUCCCUGGCGGAUCCCGGCUUCUAAUCAACCUGCCCUGUUAUGGUGUUUUCCGGCCCUCGCUCCAGCAUUUCAAUAAAUUUAUUUAACUGUUCUCUGUUCCGAGUGUUCUCUGCAUGUGGGUCAAGUCAGGCGGUAAAAACUAUGACAACUUCACAAUGAUAUGCUAUGUAGUGUUGGUCUAGCUCUUAAAAUCCCAAAUAAAUAUGUUGAAUUUUGUGUUAGUGAGGUGACAAAAUGUAAGAUAUUUCAAGAACUCUAAAUAGAUUUGCAAAAUAUUGUAAUUUAAUUAAUUCAAGUGCUUUUUGAUCACCUGAUAUAUCAAGGAGAAAUUACUUCAUUAAAAUGCUCCAGACCAGAGAAACACAGUAUUGCUUUAUUGUAUGUUUGAGAAAUGUAUGAAAUGGCUAAUAAAUUAAUGGUUAAUAAAAAA